UACGGAGGGUGCAAGCGUUGUCCGGAUUUAUUGGGUUUAAAGGGUGCGUAGGCGGUUUAUUAAGUCAGUGGUGAAAACCUGCAGCUCAACUGUAGAAUUGCCAUUGAUACUGAUAGACUUGAGUACAGACGAGGUAGGCGGAAUUUAUGGUGUAGCGGUGAAAUGCAUAGAUACCAUAAAGAACACCUAUUGCGAAGGCAGCUUACUAGGCUGUAACUGACGCUGAGGCACGAAAGCGUGGGGAUCGAACAGG
rnacentral:rRNA from 1 species